rnacentral:rRNA from 1 species
AUUGAACGCUGGCGGCAGGCUUAACACAUGCAAGUCGAGCGGAGAUGAGGUGCUUGCACCUUAUCUUAGCGGCGGACGGGUGAGUAAUGCUUAGGAAUCUGCCUAUUAGUGGGGGACAACAUUCCGAAAGGAAUGCUAAUACCGCAUACGUCCUACGGGAGAAAGCAGGGGAUCUUCGGACCUUGCGCUAAUAGAUGAGCCUAAGUCGGAUUAGCUAGUUGGUGGGGUAAAGGCCUACCAAGGCGACGAUCUGUAGCGGGUCUGAGAGGAUGGUCCGCCACACUGGGACUGAGACACGGCCCAGACUCCUACGGGAGGCAGCAGUGGGGAAUAUUGGACAAUGGGGGAAACCCUGAUCCGGCCAUGCCGCGUGUGUGAAGAAGGCCUUAUGGUUGUAAAGCACUUUAAGCGAGGAGGAGGCUACUGAGACUAAUACUCUUGGAUAGUGGACGUUACUCGCAGAAUAAGCACCGGCUAACUCUGUGCCAGCCGCCGCCGCCGUAA